AAAAAAAUAAAAGUGUGUGACAAACAGUCAAUAAGAAGGACCGAGAGGCAGCUGAGAAAAAAAGAGCAUCAGAUUUGUAUUAUCCUUUCAGACCCUCCUUUUCUUAUCUUCUUCUUUUUUGUGGCAGCCAAAUAAAAUCGGGCUCUAGCCCUAUCUGACAGAGAAGAGAAUAGAUGAGGGACGGAGCUCAUCGCAGACAGGAUUACAUGCCAAAACUGAGGGAUUUGUUCACAAAAACAACUUGUCAAUCACUUUAAAGUCAAGAUAUUGACUUGCACAGAGGCUGUAAGAGCACACUCACCUCAUUUCUAGACUUAGAGAGACACAAGCCUCUCAGCAUCUAUCAGUAAAUAUAACACAACUUGAGCUUUUCAAACGCGUGUCCUCUGUUAGACCUGAGACAAAAAUACUUCUUGCUUUUUUUUUUCCAGACUUUUCAAGCCGGAUAUUUGGAGAGGUUCAGCCUUCAUCGCAGUGCGUAAAAAAACAGAGGUUGGACUUGACUGGAGAUGUGGCAUGGAUGUCCUAUGUAAUUUCAUCAUUGCAGUUAAAUGGCUCAAUGUGAGGAAGCUGAACGACAGCUGUCACUCAAAGAGACACCUGCAAACACAUCACCAAGCGCUGAAGACUCAAGCAAACUUACAUCCAACUGAAAUUUUAAUUUUCCGCUUUUUGUUCAUGGAAUAAAUUACUCUUGUUCUGGUUUUAAUGGCCAAAAAUUACUCUUUGUGCAAACAUGUGGCAGAAGUGUCAAAGUUUCAACCGUCGGUACCUUCAGUGGACCAAAGUUAGUACUUGAGGGAGGCGGCGGGAGGCCAUCACGCUGAAC